rnacentral:rRNA from 1 species
AGUGAACGCUGGCGGUAGGCCUAACACAUGCAAGUCGAACGGCAGCACAGUAAGAGCUUGCUCUUACGGGUGGCGAGUGGCGGACGGGUGAGGAAUACAUCGGAAUCUACUUUUUCGUGGGGAUUAACGAAGGGAAACUUACGCUAAUACCGCAUACGACCUACGGGGGAAAGCAGGGGAUCUUCGGACCUUGCGCGAUUGAAUAAGCCGAUGUCGGAUUAGCUAGUUGGCGGGGUAAAGGCCCACCAAGGCGACGAUCCGUAGCUGGUCUGAGAGGAUGAUCAGCCACACUGGAACUGAGACACGGUCCAGACUCCUACGGGAGGCAGCAGUGGGGAAUAUUGGACAAUGGGCGCAAGCCUGAUCCAGCCAUACCGCGUGGGUGAAGAAGGCCUUCGGGUUGUAAAGCCCUUUUGUUGGGAAAGAAAAGCAGCAGGUUAAUACCCCGCUGUUCUGACGGUACCCAAAGAAUAAGCACCGGCUAACUUCGUG